rnacentral:lncRNA from 1 species
AAAAUAGCUCAGGAACGUGGAAAUGUUUUAGACAUACACAAAUCACAUGACCAUUUAAAUGUGCAAAUGUAAGAAAAUUAAAUGUGUUUACAUCAAAUGACAUAUUUUUAUUGAUUUAUUGCAGAUUCAGUGCAUAUGAGCCAAAUUGUUGAGUGUAUAAGAGCUAUAUUGUGUGUUUAAUGUAUAGUCUACCAAGUACUACAGUACAUAAUCUGUUCAAAAUGUGUUUGAGUGAGCUGAUGGAGCUAACUGAAAGGUCAGAAAAUACAUCUGUCAGUCACGGUUAUGUGCAAGUCCUUUGUGGAAGCUUUUAUUAAAGUCAUGCUAAAUCACAAGAAUUACAUUUGUACCAAUACCUGAAACUUCUUCAUGUUUUUCAAUAACUUCCAGCUUCU